rnacentral:snRNA from 1 species
GGAUGUGAGGGUGAUCUGGCUGCGACAUGUCAGCCCACUGAUUGCCAGGGUUGAUUCAGCUGAUCUGGCUGGCUAGGCGGGUGUCCCUUUCUCCCUCACGGCUCCCAUGCACAUCUCUCCUGAAGCUGCACACUUGGUCGAAGAGGACGACCUUCCCUGCUAGAGAAGGACCAUUCUCUGGUCAAGGGUAUACAAGUAGCUGUGCUCCCCUGCUAGAACCUCCAAACAAGCUCUCAAGAAUUUCACAUUUUGAAUUAUAUUUCCAAAGUUCUAAUUCUCAGAGAAUGAAACAACAAUUUAUU